UGGCUCAGAAGGUAAAGCGUCUGCCUACAAUGCAGGAGAUCCGGGUUCAAUCUCCGG
rnacentral:tRNA from 1 species